CCUACGGGAGGCAGCAGUGAGGAAUAUUGGUCAAUGGACGCAAGUCUGAACCAGCCAUGCCGCGUGCAGGAAGACGGCUCUAUGAGUUGUAAACUGCUUUUGUACGAGGGUAAACGCAGAUACGCGUAUCUGUCUGAAAGUAUCGUACGAAUAAGGAUCGGCUAACUCCGUGCCAGCAGCCGCGGUAAUACGGAGGAUUCAAGCGUUAUCCGGAUUUAUUGGGUUUAAAGGGUGCGUAGGCGGUCGGAUAAGUUAGAGGUGAAAUCCCGAGGCUCAACUUCGGAAUUGCCUCUGAUACUGGUCGUCUAGAGAGUAGUUGCGGUAGGCGGAAUGUGUGGUGUAGCGGUGAAAUGCUUAGAGAUCAUACAGAACACCGAUUGCGAAGGCAGCUUACCAAGCUACUUCUGACGUUGAGGCACGAAAGCGUGGGGAGCAAACAGGAUUAGAUACCCGGGUAGUC
rnacentral:rRNA from 1 species